UUGCUUUUUGGGUCACACCGAGCGAUGCUCAGGGGUUACUCCUGGCUUUGCACUCAGGAAUUACUCCUGGUGGUGCUUGGGGGACCAUAUGGGAUGCCGGGGAUCGAACCCGGGUCGGCCGCGUGCAAGGCAAACGCCCUACCCGCUGUGCUAUCGCUCCGGCCCCCUGCCCCCAUUCUUGAGGUCACAUGUGACUACACACACAACCACACACACUUUCCUUUUUUUUUUUUUUGAGCCACACCCAACGAUGCUCAGGAAUCAGUCGCUCCUGGUGGUGCUCGGGGGACCAUACACGAUGCUGGGGAUCGAACCUGGGUCCAUGUACAAGAGGCCCAUGGAGCCGAGAGCAGGAAACCAGGCCUAGAGACGGGGUGCCGCGGGCCAUGUGCUUGGGGACACGCACCUCCCAUCUUCUCGCCUUUGCCCUCCUCAUCUCCGGGCACGCAGUUCCUCUCGGCUUCGAGGCCCCUGCAGGUCACACCCAGCAACGCACAGGGGUUAUUCCUGGCUCAUGCACUCAGAAAUUACUCCUGGCAGUGCUCGGGAGACCAUAUGGAUGCUGGGAAUCAAACCCGGGUCGGCCGCGUGCAAGGCAAACACCCUACCCGCUGUGCUAUCGCUCCAGCCCCCAGCCCCCCCUUUCAAAUCAAGCUCCAGCCCGUCACUUCAUUGGAGAAAAU